AGCGAUGGCGGCCAUGGC
rnacentral:miRNA from 1 species